rnacentral:rRNA from 1 species
UAGAAUUCAUAGUGUAGCGGUGGAAUGCGUAGAUAUUAUGAAGAAUACCAGUGGCGAAGGCGGCCUCCUGGAUCUGUACUGACACUAAGGUGCGAAAGCGUGGGUAGCGAACAGGAUUAGAUACCCUGGUAGUCCACGCCGUAAACGAUGACAACUAGCUGUUGGGAGACAAUGUCUUUCAGUGGCGCAGCUAACGUUUUAAGUUGUCCGCCUGGGGAGUACGGCCGCAAGGCUAAAACUCAAAUGAAUUGACGGGGACCCGCACAAGCGGUGGAGCAUGUGGUUUAAUUCGAUGCAACGCGAAAAACCUUACCUACUCUUGACAUACUUGGAAGCUCUUGUAAUGAGAGUGUGCCUUUUGGAGCCAAGAUACAGGUGCUGCAUGGCUGUCGUCAGCUCGUGUCGUGAGAUGUUCCGUUAAGUCGGAUAACGAGCGCAACCCUUACCCUUAUUUGCCAGCGAUUCGGUCGGGAACUAUAAGGGGACUGCCGGUGAUAAACCGGAGGAAGGUGAGGACGACGUCAAGUCAUCAUGGCCCUUACGAGUAGGGCUACACACGUGCUACAAUGGGGAAUACAGACGGACGCUAAGCCGCGAGGUGGUGCUAAUCCUAUAAAGUUCUUCGUAGUCCGGAUUGGAGUCUGCAACUCGACUCCAUGAAGUCGGAAUCGCUAGUAAUCGCGAAUCAGCAUGUCGCGGUGAAUACGUUCUCGGGUCUUGUACACACCGCCCGUCACACCAUGGAAGUGGAUUGCACCAGAAGUAGAUAGUCUAACCUUCGGGAGGGCGUUUACCACGGUGUGCUUCAUGACUGGGGUGAAGUCGUAACAAGGUAACCGUA